rnacentral:rRNA from 1 species
UGGGGAAUAUUGCACAAUGGGCGCAAGCCUGAUGCAGCCAUGCCGCGUGUGUGAAGAAGGCCUUCGGGUUGUAAAGCACUUUCAGCGGGGAGGAAGGCGAUAAGGUUAAUAACCUUGUCGUUUGACGUUACCCGCAGAAGAAGCACCGGCUAACUCCGUGCCAGCAGCCGCGGUAAUACGGAGGGUGCAAGCGUUAAUCGGAAUUACUGGGCGUAAAGCGCACGCAGGCGGUCUGUCAAGUCGGAUGUGAAAUCCCCGGGCUCAACCUGGGAACUGCAUUCGAAACUGGCAGGCUAGAGACUUGUAGAGGGGGGUAGAAUUCCAGGUGUAGCGGUGAAAUGCGUAGAGAUCUGGAGGAAUACCGGUGGCGAAGGCGGCCCCCUGGACAAAGACUGACGCUGAGGUGCGAAAGCGUGGGGAGCAAACAGG